rnacentral:rRNA from 1 species
AACGUAGGAGGCAAACGUUAUCCGGAUUUACUGGGCGUAAAGCGCGUGUAGGUGGUUUGGUAAGUAGGGCGUGAAAGCUCCCGGCUCAACUGGGAGAGGCCGUUCUAAACUACAGAACUAGAGGAUGGUAGAGGGAGGUGGAAUUCCAGGUGUAGCGGUGGAAUGCGCAGAUAUCUGGAGGAACACCGGUGGCGAAGGCGGCCUCCUGGACCAUUCCUGACACGCAGACGCGAUAGUUAGGGUAGCAAACGGG